rnacentral:rRNA from 1 species
ACUUCAACCUGAUCAAGUAUAGUUCACCAUCUUUCGGGUCACAGCAUAUAUGCUCAAGGUACGCUCUAGUUAGAGGCAUAAAUAGCAUUUAAAAAACACUAUUAUACAUAACUGUAUAGAACGCCCUGGGAUUGUAUUAAUAAAUAUAUAAAUAUAUUAAAAAUUAAUCCCAUUUAAAUAAAGUUAAGUUAAUUAUGCUUAAGGGUUUACAUAAAAUGUUACCCAAAAGCUUGCACAUAUGUUAGACUCCUUGGUCCGUGUUUCAAGACGGGUCCCGAAGGUAUCCUGAAUCUUUCGCAUUGUUAAUCGUAUUAAUGCGAAUAAAAAAAUUUUAUAUUCUUUAUUAAAUUUCCAUAUGGAAAUUUUAGCAUCAUACAUAUGAUUAAAUCUAUCAACACUUUAUCAAAUCAGUGUAAAGGCAUUUAUUUUAUGUUAAUAUUAAAAAUAUUAAUUUAAAUAAACUAUACCAAACUGAUCUUAUGAUAAAUAUGUUUAAUAUGUUAAUAGAUUACAAUGUCAAUUUAUAUGAAGAAAAUGCACACUAUUUUAAUAAUAUAAAUUAUAUAUCAUUAUCAUAAUGAUGAAUUCUUCAUAAUUGAUAUUCAGGUUCAUCGGGCUUAACCUCUAAGCAGUUUCACGUACUAUUUAACUCUCUAUUCAGAGUUCUUUUCAACUUUCCCUCACGGUACUUGUUUACUAUCGGUCUCAUGGUUAUAUUUAGUUUUAGAUGGAGUUUACCACCCACUUAGUGCUGCACUAUCAAGCAACACGACUCUUUGGAAAUAUCUUCUAGUAAUCAUUAUUGUUAUACGGGCCUGGCACCCUCUUUGGGUAAAUGGCCUCGUUCAAGAAGGACUUAAAUCAAUAAUAUUUCAUACUAGAAUUAAG